CCUACGGGAGGCAGCAGUGGGGAAUAUUGCACAAUGGGGGAAACCCUGAUGCAGCAACGCCGCGUGAGCGAUGAAGGCCUUCGGGUCGUAAAGCUCUGUCCUAAGGGAAGAAUAAUGACGGUACCUUAGGAGGAAGCCCCGGCUAACUACGGGCCGGCAGCCGCGGUAAUACGUAGGGGGCUAGCGUUAUCCGGAAUUACUGGGCGUAAAGGGUGCGUAGGCGGCCCUUCAAGUCAGAGGUGACAGGCUACGGAUCAACCGUAGUAAGCCUUUGAAACGGGAGGGCUUGCGUGCCGGAGAGGAGAGUGGAAUUCCCAGUGUAGCGGUGAAAUGCUUAGAUAUUGGGACGAACACCAGUUGCGAAGGCCGCUCCCUGGACUGUAACUGCCGCUGAGGCACGAAAGCGUGGGGAGCGAACAGGAUUAGAUACCUUUGUAGUC
rnacentral:rRNA from 1 species